UCAAAGUUAAUAUUCACAAUUAACAAUCAAUUAAUAUCCUCAAUUAACAAAUCAAGAUCUAAAGUUAUCUAACUAUCCUAAUUAAAACCUAAUAUUAAUCUAAAUUAUGAUUAAUUAACAAAUUAUAACAACAAAAAGAGGAUAAUGGAUCAAAUAGAGAAAAAGGAAUGGGCCUUGGGGAGAAAGAAUGAAAGGCCCACUCGUAGGGGGGUAAACGGUCCAUGGAGGGAGUGUGCGAACCAGAGUUCACUUUGGGCUUCAUAGACGCUCAAGGGCCAAUCCGUUGGAUACGAGGGCCCUGGAAAUCCCAACAUCUUCAACACCUGCUCAGUGACACAGAGGGAGAGAAAAGGGAAAAACAAGAAAGACGAAAGCCGACACGCUCAAAAGCUCCCCGCGCCGGAGAUCUUCGUCGGCGGCGGCGGAGUACAACCUAAUCCAAAGCUCGAUCUGCUCUCUCUCACCUCAACCGAAUUCAUAAACAAACUUCUCAUCUCACAUAGAAAUCAAGAAACGCUAGUAAAUCUUACGCUAAACCUCCUCUUCAAACCAAAAUCUCGCGAUAUGAAUAUAUUGAUGGAAGAAGUGCAUUACCGUACGCGUCGUCAAAUGCUUAGUGUUCUUCAAUCACCGCGCGUCGCAUCCGAAAGUGAAGGCUCCAUUUGAAUCGUCGUGGCGUUCAAAUUCCGUGCUCACUCUUGCUAACCGAAUUGAAGUGGAGCGUUGAUGCCGGUGAAGUUGGUGGUGGUGUAUUAGAUUGGUUGCGGUGGAAACGGUGGUUGGUUGAAGGUUUUGGUUGUGGAGGUUUAGCAGGUUGAAGAAGAAGGAGGUGAAAGAGUUCGUUAUUGGCGGUGGUUAGGAUUUCAAAAGAGAGGGGGAGCGCGCGGAGCGGAGAGGAUCACGGUGUUGAUGAAGAUUGCGAUGGAGGAAAAAAGUUUGUUACGGUUGCUCUCGGUGGUGGAAAUAACAGAGAAUGGAGGAAGAAAUUCCGCAGAAGAGAAAAAAAAAUCCCUCUCCUCUUCACUGCUUGCGUUCUUAUAGCUUUUUGUUCAUCUGCGUUUUGCUUUCAUUUUCUACAACAGCUUUUGCAUGCCGUUUACGGCAACUGCUGUCGUUUAUGCUGUUAAGCUGCAUUUUUGAACUGGUGUUGCAGCAGCUUAUGCAGUUUGGCUUUGGUGUUAGCGAUUUGCCGUUGAUGGCUUUAGGUUCGUCGUUUGGAUUACGUUUUUGUGAGCUGCGUUUUUACUUGGCUUCGGUUGCAGCUGUUGUAAGUAGUUUGAGCUGUUAUGGAAUUUGUGUGGCAGCAGCUUUUUGUUGUUUAUCUUAUGCAGCUCAUUUUAAUUCA